GUGUCAGCCGCCGCGGUAAUACAGAGGUCUCAAGCGUUGUUCGGAUUCAUUGGGCGUAAAGGGUGCGUAGGUGGCGCCAUAAGUCAGGUGUGAAAUCUCGGGGCUUAACUCCGAAACUGCAUUUGAUACUGUGGUGCUUGAGGACUGGAGAGGAGACUGGAAUUCACGGUGUAGCAGUGAAAUGCGUAGAUAUCGUGAGGAAGACCAGUGGCGAAGGCGGGUCUCUGGACAGUUCCUGACACUGAGGCACGAAGGCCAGGGGAGCAAACGGGAUUAGAAACCCCGGUAGUCC
rnacentral:rRNA from 1 species